UCGCCUGUAGCUUAGUGGUAGAGCGUCUGACCGGUGUGCUGAAGGUUAUACAUGUAGGUUCAACUCCUGUUGGGGAAC